rnacentral:rRNA from 1 species
UACGUAGGGGGCAAGCGUUGUCCGGAAUCAUUGGGCGUAAAGCGCGUGUAGGCGGCUUGGUAAGUCCGCUCUGAAAGCCCGGGGCUCAACCCCGGGAGGCGGGUGGAUACUGUCAAGCUCGAGUCCGGAAGAGGCGAGUGGAAUUCCUGGUGUAGCGGUGAAAUGCGCAGAUAUCAGGAGGAACACCGAUGGCGAAGGCAGCUCGCUGGGACGGUACUGACACUGAGAGACGAAAGCUAGGGGAGCAAAUGGG